UACAAUUUAUUUGACAUUCGAGAAUUACACGGAUAACCGUAGUAACUCUAGGGAUAAUACGUGGUACUUUUCCUCACCUUAUCUAAUAAGGCGGAAGAGCGUGCAUAUUAUCUAAAACCUCUAAAGGUUGAAACAGAGUAUUUUUCGGAUCGCGUGGGUUCUACCAGCGACGUGUCAUUCAAGUUUCUGCCCUAUUAGCUCCGACGGUAGAAUAGAGGUUUACCGUGGCAAUAACGGGUAACGGGGAACGGGGGUUCGACUCCGGAGAGGCAGCCUGAGAAACGGCUACCACA
rnacentral:rRNA from 1 species